UGGUCCUGGACCCACAGUCCCAUCCCCAUCACUCACCUGGCUGGCAAUACCUAAGGGGAAUAAACACCACAUCAUCGAAGAAUCCUAUGGGGACAAAUUCUUCUACACCUUUAGGUCUGAGUUUUCAGAGGACUACAGCUCCCAUGAUCCCCAAGAAGAACUGGACCUGAGCUUCAACAGCGAUGCACUUUGGGAAGAGGAGGAAGUACACAAAAAAAAUUCCCUUGCUUAAGCAAGAGAAGUAAAGUUUGAAGCCUUAAACCAAUCCCUUCCAUCCAGUCCACAAUGAACAAACUUGAAAGGCCCAGUGUGUUGAGGUGGUGUGCAGAGAGAAGAGCCAAGCUCUACGCUAUCAAGAAAACCUGAGGAUGUACUUUCUGAUGUUUAUUGUGUAUUCUGAUUUCAC
rnacentral:lncRNA from 1 species